GGUCCUGUGGUGUAGUGGUUAUCACGUCUGCUUUACACGCAGAAGGUCCUCAGUUCGAACCUGGGUAGGGCCA
rfam:Macrostomum lignano uti_cns_0010033, whole genome shotgun sequence.